rnacentral:tRNA from 2 species
CGCAGGGUAUUUCAGUGGUCAGAAGGCGAGAUUCAUAACCUCGAGGUCAUCGGUUCGAAUCCGAUCCCUGCAACCA